CACAAAAAAGGAAGUUACAGGAAUCCUAAAUCUUACUGGGAAAGUCUCCCCACCCGAAAUCAUCAUCUCCGCUUUUCGAUGAUCGGGAUCGCGACGGGUUUCUCUCCGAAGACGUUUUUGGUGUAUAGAAGCGAGCCUCGCGUUGGUUCGUUCGAUUAUGAUUCCAUAGUAAAGGAUCAGAAUAUGAAUAAAACAAUGUGAAGUCCUCAACGAUGCCGGUGUUUGACAAGCCUGUUUAUGGUGACGAUAUAUUUGAAGGAUUGCCUGGGCUAAAGAGCGCGUCCUUGAAUUCGUUCGCGGUGAAGCAAGUAGACGUGUUCGUCUCAAUUUCAGCGGAGCCGUGAUGAGUAGAUCGCAUAGCAGCUCCGCUUUUGAUGAUCUAUUGGGUAAUUUGGGGAGGAAAGAAACGGAGUUGAAGAAGGAGAGCGUGAAAGUGGAUAAUGAUUCUUCGGCCUUCGAUGAUUUGCUUCCUGGAUUUGGUAAUAGUAGCUCCCCUAACAGGAAAUGCAUGGAAGCAUCCUUACAAAAUUGAUGCCCGAGGCUUCAAGUGCUGUAUUGAAUGUUUUAGUUAGUCAUCCACCAACCCCUGUAUUAUGGCAUGCUGAAUGGCUCUUGCAGAAGGCUCAGUGAUCAAAACCUUCACCUGUUUAAACUUUAAUGUUCUGGUUGCAUAAAGAAGAAGAUAGUUUGGAGAUUUAGAAAUUCUGUUUCAAGCGAAGGUGGGAAUGGGUAUCAGUCUCAUAUCAACGGUAACUGUGGAAGAUAUGCUCAGUUUGCAAAGCAAUUAACCACGAGGAACUUUGGAGUGUCUGCAAUGGACUGGAUAGGUCACACAGAGUGAUGGAUUGCAUGGAUAUGUUCCCACAUUUGACCAUGUUGUUGCAGACACUGACUUCAAGAAUGUUCCAGGCUCUCUAUAGUGUUGUUCAGUUGCUCUGACAAUCAGCGUAAUUUAACUAUGAACAGGAGGACUUUCUUGGAAAAAGUCCAAACAGAUAACCCUGGAAUACCUGGUUUUCUUUUUGGUCAUUCCACUGGAGGGGCUGUGGUUC